UGUUUCCUCCAAUCUGUACUCAUCGUUGAUUCUAUUCAUACUGAGCAGCAGUAAUAAUCCUCUAAAUAAGGUAAUUUGAGAUAAUAAUUAAGUUGAGUGUUAUCAUUAUUUACAAACUGUGCAAUUCUUACAACUUAGGUUUUUCGUUUCUUUAAGAAAUUCAAUCUCUUAGUAUUAAUAACAAAUUCUCCUAUUUUGAAUCACUAAUACUAAAUAAAAUACCAAAAAAUAAUUACUUAUUUUGUGAUAAAAAUAAUAAAAUACUAAAGAGUGAAUGAAAGUAAAAUCAACAUAAAAGGCAGCAAUAUGAUAUUUUAUCUGGCAGCAAUAAGAAAAAAAAAGAACCGAAAAGAAAACAUUGAAAUUAAGAAAAUAAAAUUUGUACCGCACCCGAAGGCUGCCUACGU
rnacentral:misc_RNA from 1 species